rnacentral:lncRNA from 1 species
CAAAAGUUCAUUCAAUUUCAAUGACUUACUCUAUUGCUUUUCAAGUCUUUCGAGGUUUUGGAAAGGAUAAUACCAUCUUAAUAGUUAAAAAUUACUCGAAAAUAAAAGUUCUCCUAACAUGCACUAUCGCCUCAAUUUUAGUCUAUGAGCAUUCUGCCAAGACUUGCUUUUGAAUAUGACUGUUCUUUGAGGCAGCUACUAGUGCUUUAAAUCCUUUUUGGAACAUGGCAAGGCAUAAAUAAAUCAGUAAAAUAAAUCAUGAA